CCCCACCCCCCCAGAGGGCCUCCUCCCCCCCUCGCACCUCGAGGCCCACCAGGUCCCAGAGGCAACCAGGCAGAGCAGGACCUCAAGGCGAAGCAGCGAGCCGAGGUGCUCCAAUCGACUCAUAAAUUCUUCUCAGAGCAGCAACUCAAGGCUCCGUCAGUCUCCAAACCCUCUCGUCUCGACCAGGGGGGAGGCAAAUCCCCCCUCGACAUCCUGCCCCCCAACCACCAGACCGUAGGAGUCGUGGAGCGCCCUGAGCCCGACAAAUCCUCUCUGUCGGUGGGCAAGCCCAUCCGGACCGGCCCUAUCAAGCCCCAGGCCAUCAAACCAGAGGAGGGGAAGUAGAGCCUCAACAUUCUCCACAGAAGGCGAGGUGGAGAAAUAAUCCAGCUGCUCCACUCAUUCACACAAUCACUCGCUCUCACACAUCACCUGUGCUGUUGUUGGAGAGGGGGGGCGGGGAGAAAGGGAGGAGAGGUGGGGUGUGUAAGUCUGAAUGAGAGGGCUACUGUGUGUGCUCCCACCUCUCUCCCCCUCUCCUUCUCUCCUGUCCUCCACUAUUGGGGGUCUGUGUUUUCGGCGGAAGGCAGCACCGUAAGCUGUACUUCAAAUGUCUACCGCGAUGGUAGAAAAAGAGGAAGCGAAAAAAGAAAAGAUAUGAGAUUCGCUGCUGAGUUUGCCAUUUUUAUAGCUCUAUGAUUUCGGUUCCUUUCCUUUUCUCAGUUGAAUCACAUGAAGACAGGGCUCUUCUUUUUGUUAACAAAAGAAUGUAUCAAUCUUUUGUUUUUGUAGUUGAACAAACAAUCUUAUUUAAAGCGAUGUCUUUUAGUGAAGCACAGACACGUUCUAUUCCCCUGCCUGUCCUCCCAUCAUUACUAYCACAGAGCUAUGUGAGUGUGUACAAUCUCUGCAUGAUCACCACACACACCUUCCCCCUAGUGCUCAAAGGUUUCACCAAUAUUACUUAAAGAGAAACUGAAGUAAUUCAGUUUUUUUUUUUUUUCUAGAGAGGAAAUGUAAGAUGCAGCAGUUGAUCGAUUGAUUUAUUGAUACGUCUGCCUUCCCUCCUGCUUUCUGCUCUCAUUUCUUUGCCUGACAUGGUGGUGUAUGGGUGUGUAUGUGUUUUUGUGUUUUGCGUGUUGCACACGUGGGCAGGCUAUUGUCCAGGUUCUCUUUAUCUUUAGCCAAAGGUUGAGCAGCGCAAAGAUGUCACAGAGCCUUUGGAAAUCCCCGUUGCUAUGGCAGCAGAGUGGAAGGGGAGUUAUUAUGGGUUGUCGGUAAACCCUGAAUCCAGUCUAGGGAUAAGUCUCACACACUCCCCUCUUCCAUUUCCCUCCCAGCCUCCCUCAAGAGUAAGGAGAGUAGAAUACACCUAUAAUACACUCCUCCACCACCGUUCACACACCCCUCCUCGGUGUCUCUCAUACACACACUUUACUGUAGGGCACCCUACCCUGCUGCUACUGACAGAAAGAGAGAGUGAGUACUGGUGCCCUUAGCCAGGACACACAGCAGGAGAGGGCUAGAGAGUGGUGGAGGGUUUCAUUUUAAAAACUGUAGAAACAGAAAAUCAUUCAGUGUGGCAUUCUGUUAACCCUCACCAAAAGGAAAAGAGACUGACCGAGAGGGGGAGGAAGAGAACAGCAUGAGAAAAAAGCCUCCAGAUUUGAACUGUAGUCUAUGGUUCUGCUGUGUUCCGGGGCAGAAGGACAGGUGUUAGUGUUGAGAGGAGAGAUCGUCCCUGUCUUCUCCUGUCUCUCCAGCUCACUUAGUCUCACUCAAGCCUACACCGCUCACUCAUCUCGGGUUUACCAUGGUGAGAAGGGUCCUUCAGAAAUGUACAGUAGUAUGCUCCCCUAGUGGGUAGGGGCCUAUGGAGCCAGUUGGCCCACUCUAACCAGAACAUGGAAUGAGAAUUGUGUAGGAGGGAGUGGUGGAGAGUGUGAUCAUGAUGAUAAUUAGUUUAGUUUUACUUGUACAGGGGGUACAUCGCUGUAUUAAAAUAUGUACGGUCUUAUUUACAUUCUUGGUUUGGUUAAAGAAACUAAUAAAAUAAUAUGCUGUUAAAAAGUGAA